GAGGCGGUGGCUUCUCACCCAGGCUUGUUCCUGAAGUCCUAAGCUAUUAAGAGGUGUAAAUUGUUCAAUUUCACUGCUGCAAAAUCACUAUCAGUUUUAUCAAAGAAACAGAAAAGCUUUUCUUGCUAGAUAUCUGAAACAAGAAAGCUUCAGAUUUCGAUUGCUGGCUACUGAUCGAGCAUAAGAAAUAAGUGAGGCAGGAUGAUGGGGCAAUUUAUUAUUGUAACCAAUUAGGAAUGAGGAAAAGGAGAACCCCAUUCAAGUUUGAGUAUUUGAAUCAAAUGGGCAAUUUAUUAUUGUAACCAAUUAGGAAUGAGGAAAAGGAGAACCCCAUUCAAGUCUGAGUAUUUGAAUCAAAUACACAUUAGAAUGUCUUAACUUGUUGGUUCAUUGGCUGACUGAGUUCAAUUAGUGAAAUUUACCCAAAUAGCGAUCAUUCUCUUGGUUUAUGGAUUGAAGCAGUCUGUUUGCUUUUGACAGUAUUACAUGGUUUUUAUUGUUGUUUUGAUUAUGCAUACGCAUAUUAGUUUGUGCCAUGGAGAUUGUACUUCUAAAAUUUUCAGAAAUUGUUAUGACAGUUAGUUUGUCCUCUCACUUCUUAGGCAUUCAUAUUUCCUUACAGAUUAUGCCUCUAAGUACUUUUAGCAAUUUUAAGUAAUGACGUUUUUCCAAUUUCUUUAUAUUUUCAUGUUAAAUUUUCUUCCACCGUAUGUACUUUGGGUUUAUGUUCAGUUUCCCUUGAACGAGCUAACUGAUUAAGAAGUGAUCUUACCACAAUGAAGUAGUGAAUUUAAGAAUUUAGCAUAAUUUUUAUGUUAAUACUAACAAUUGAUUUGCUAGAAAGUCAUUUGCGUUAGACACUUGUCAAAAA